CCCUUCUCCCCUCACCCCUCUUGCGCCGAAUUCUUCUCCCCUCACCUCGCGACACUGCCCUGCCUCCUCCGCCGAUCCUCUUCGCCGUCGAGCCACAACUUCCGGUGAUCUUUCUCCCUCCCGCGAGUUCACGCACUUGAGCCGACCUUUCUUCCUCGCUUGAGCACCACACACAGUCGUCGGCCUCUCCUCACGCGAGCGCCGCAGCCGACGAUCUUCCUUCCCUUCUCCACUGAGCCACGGUCGCACCUUCUCUUCUCCUCACGCGAGCACCAGAGACUCCUUGUCGUGCCCUAAUCUCGUUGAAGUGGGUUCCAGCCGGAGAGGAAGCGGUAGACAAAGUCUUGUAGCCCCAUAGUAGCACAUACCCCGGGUCUUCGGCAGGAGCUAACUUCCAGCGAUCACUCUUCCCAGCCGCGAGCAACAGGGGGAGACCUCGUCAUAAGCGUAAGAGGAUUUCGAUUCGAGAUGAGCAUCUCGACGUGGGAUUACUUAGCAUGAUCUACGU